GAUGAACGCUGGCGGCGUGCCUAAUACAUGCAAGUCGAGCGAACAGACGAGGAGCUUGCUCCUCUGACGUUAGCGGCGGACGGGUGAGUAACACGUGGAUAACCUACCUAUAAGACUGGGAUAACUUCGGGAAACCGGAGCUAAUACCGGAUAAUAUAUUGAACCGCAUGGUUCAAUAGUGAAAGACGGUUUUGCUGUCACUUAUAGAUGGAUCCGCGCCGCAUUAGCUGGUUGGUAAGGUAACGGCUUACCAAGGCAACGAUGCGUAGCCGACCUGAGAGGGUGAUCGGCCACACGGGAACUGAGACACGGUCCAGACUCCUACGGGAGGCAGCAGUAGGGAAUCUUCCGCAAUGGGCGAAAGCCUGACGGAGCAACGCCGCGUGAGUGAUGAAGGUCUUCGGAUCGUAAAACUCUGUUAUUAGGGAAGAACAAAUGUGUAAGUAACUAUGCACGUCUUGACGGUACCUAAUCAGAAAGCCACGGCUAACUACGUG
rnacentral:rRNA from 1 species